UAGGGUUCGAUUAUGGCUCAGGAUGAACGCUAGCGGCAGGCCUAACACAUGCAAGUCGAGGGGCAGCACAAAGAUAGUUUACUAUUUUGGUGGCGACCGGCGCACGGGUGAGUAACGCGUAUGCAACCUACCUUAUACAGGAGUAUAGCCCGAAGAAAUUCGGAUUAAUCCUCCAUAGUAUUUUCUAAUGGCAUCAUUUGGAAAAUUAAAGCUUCGGCGGUAUAAGAUGGGCAUGCGUCCUAUUAGCUAGAUGGUAAGGUAACGGCUUACCAUGGCUACGAUAGGUAGGGGGCCUGAGAGGGUGAUCCCCCACACUGGUACUGAGACACGGACCAGACUCCUACGGGAGGCAGCAGUGAGGAAUAUUGGGCAAUGGAGGCAACUCUGACCCAGCCAUGCCGCGUGCAGGAAGAAUGCCCUAUGGGUUGUAAACUGCUUUUAUUUAGGAAUAAACCUCUCUACGUGUAGAGAGCUGAAUGUACUAAACGAAUAAGCACCGGCUAACUCCGUGCCAGCCGCCGCGGUAAUUCA
rnacentral:rRNA from 1 species